rnacentral:tRNA from 1 species
GCUGGCAUAACUCAGCUGGUAGAGUACCGGUUUUGUAAACCGGCUGUCGGGGGUUCGAUUCCCUCUGCCAGCUCCA